rnacentral:rRNA from 1 species
UACGGGCGGUGCGAGCGUUGUUCGGAAUGACUGGGCGUAAAGCGCACGUAGGCGGGUCUUUAAGUCGCAUGUGAAAUCCCCGGGCUCAACCUGGGAAUUGCAUGCGAAACUGGAGAUCUUGAAUGCCUGAGAGGUUGAUGGAAUGCUUGGUGUAGGAGUGAAAUCCGUAGAUAUCAAGUGGAACACCGGAGGCGAAGGCGGUCAACUGGUGGUGCAUUGACGCUGAGGUGCGAAAGCGUGGGUAGCAAACAGG